UCUAUAAAAAAAUGUUGAAGUCAAUUGGAUCAGGAUAACUUUUAAUUUACUGCUGAUGUGAAAAGAAUAAUUAUGAACGAUGAGAUAUGUUAUUGAACGAAAAGAAAAAGGUUUAGUUGAAGUGAUAAAUUCGAGAUGGAGAAAGUGCAGACUAUUAUAUAUUGUUUGUGACAGUCCAUGUGCUCAUCCAUGUUACUCAUUAUUUCUAUGGUAGAGAGUAGAUCAAACUCCAAUUUUCCUAAUUACAUAUUAAUCACUUU
rnacentral:lncRNA from 1 species